rnacentral:rRNA from 1 species
GCCAGACUCCUACGGGAGGCAGCAGUGGGGAAUAUUGCACAAUGGGGGAAACCCUGAUGCAGCGACGCCGCGUGAGUGAAGAAGUAUUUCGGCAUGUAAAGCUCUAUCAGCAGGGAAGAAAAUGACGGUACCUGACUAAGAAGCCCCGGCUAACUACGUGCCAGCAGCCGCGGUAAUACGUAGGGGGCAAGCGUUAUCCGGAUUUACUGGGUGUAAAGGGGGCGCAGACGGCAGCGCAAGCCAGGAGUGAAAGCCCGGGGCCCAACCCCGGGACUGCUCUUGGAACUGCGCGGCUGGAGUGCAGGAGGGGCAGGCGGAAUUCCUAGUGUAGCGGUGAAAUGCGUAGAUAUUAGGAGGAACACCAGUGGCGAAGGCGGCCUGCUGGACGAUGACUGACGUUGAGGCUCGAAAGCGUGGGGAGCAAACAGGAUUAGAUACCCGAGUA